rnacentral:rRNA from 1 species
AGGAUGAACGCUGGCGGCGUGCCUAAUACAUGCAAGUCGAGCGGCAGCGCGGUCUUCGGACUGGCGGCGAGCGGCGGACGGCUGAGUAACACGUAGGAACGUACCCCAAAGUGAGGGAUAAGCACCAGAAAUGGUGUCUAAUACCGCAUGUGCUCUAAGGAGUAAAGCUUCGGCGCUUUGGGAACGGCCUGCGCAUGAUUAGCUUGUUGGUGAGGUAAUGGCUCACCAAGGCGACGAUCAUUAGCUGGUCUGAGAGGAUGAUCAGCCAGACUGGGACUGAGAACGGCCCAGACUCCUACGGGAGGCAGCAGUAGGGAAUUUUCCACAAUGGGCGAAAGCCUGAUGGAGCAACGCCGCGUGCAGGAUGAAGGCUUUCGGGUCGUAAACUGCUUUAUAUGUGAAGAAUAUGACGGUAGCAUAUGAAUAAGGAUCGGCUAACUCCGUGCCAGCAGCCGC